rnacentral:rRNA from 1 species
UACGUAGGGCGCAAGCGUUUAUCCGGAAUUAUUGGGCGUAAAGAGCUCGUAGGCGGUUUGUCGCGUCUGCCGUGAAAGUCCGGGGCUCAACUCCGGAUCUGCGGUGGGUACGGGGCAGACUAGAGUGAUGUAGGGGGAGACUGGAAUUCCUGGUGUAGCGGUGAAAUGCGCAGAUAUCAGGAGGAACACCGAUGGCGAAGGCAGGUCUCUGGGCAUUUAACUGACGCUGAGGAGCGAAAGCAUGGGGGAGCGAACAGG